UCUUCUCUAGUGCCCCAUAAGUUUCCAAUAAAAACAGACCUCUAUCGCCCUAUGGCGUCGCAAAAAUAGAAAGGAAAUAUCUCUAUGUCCAAUAAAAUGACGGGUUUGGUAAAAUGGUUUGAUGCAGGUAAAGGCUUUGGCUUUAUCACCCCGGCAGACGGCGGCAAAGAUGUGUUCGUACACUUCUCCGCUAUCCAGAGCAACGAUUUCAAAACGCUGGACGAAGGCCAACAGGUUGAGUUCACUAUCGAAAAUGGCAUGAAGGGGCCUUCUGCCGGCAACGUGGUCGCGUUAUAAUUUUCGGCCGAGGUGCAAUUUCUUACGACAGCGAUGAUGGUUUAAGCCG
rnacentral:other from 1 species